CUCACGGGCACGCAGACUACCCUAUCUUUAUGCCCUGUGACCUGCCCUCUACCAGUGACGUGUUGGGUAUUGUGGCGUGUGGGGGGUAUACAAGAAGUGAAGGAAGAAUGAAGCCAUAAAAUUGAAGGAAGGAUAGAAGGAUAAAGAUUGAUGGCAGUGGAGGAAGUAUGUGAUAGAAGUGAAGGAAAUGUGAUAGAAGUGAAGGAAAUAUGUGAUAGAAGUGAAGGAAAUGUGAUAGAAGUAAAUAAAGCAAUAUUGAUGUGAUAAAUGAAAGAAAUCUGUGAUAAAAAUGAAAGAAGUAACAUAAUGUGAUAAUAAACAAUGAACUAAGAGUAAUAUAACAAAAAGAGAAUAAAUAAUGACAUGAAUAAA